ensembl:lncRNA
CUUAAACAGAUUUACUUUCAGCUGUGGUCUCAUCUCUAUCACUGGCAUGAUCCUAAAAUAGCAUGUUAUAGAAUAGAACCUAAUAGCCUAAUACUGAAUAUUAAUUCAAUCAUACUGACGUUCCUUGGUUACCUUGCGGUGUCAAGUCAAGUAGCCUGCUUAAUAUUCAUAAGCCAAACCUUCACCGUGUUAGGAUUGGAUAAUGCGCGCGUUGGGGGAGGGCCCUCAUCACUCACGGCACUGAAGAGAGUGAGCACCGGUGGCGCAUCCACAACUCCCGUGUCCAUUCAAAACAGUCGGCAUUGUACAAGUGCAAGUCACGCACACGGAUAUACCGGCCGUGAGUCAGUCUGGAUACUUUUUGCAAGCAAUCUUUGUGAAGCUGAAGAGAUUACACUCAUAUGGAGUGAGGUGCUGUUGCUGUAAUGGAGCUCAGCAGGGGAGAGGUGCCACUUUAUGUGAGUCUGACAGAGCGAUUUUUUUUUUCUGAUGUCCUGUCACUCUCGGUUUAACUUAUGAAGUUCUAUUCUUUCAUUGUACGUUCAGGAUCUGUCCUUUCAAUUCUCUCAGGCUGCCAAAGGACAAAACUCAUUUAUUAAAGGCUUUACUUGUGCAUGAGUGAAAACUCCUCUAGAAACUGUUCUGGUUGUCCAAACUUCUGCAUUUUAUGGACAGCGUCUCUCAUAACCAUGUUUACAUUCUGUUUAUAAAAUUAUAGAUAACAGGAACAGAAAGUUUAAGUCUAACUUGCAUUCAAAUAGUGUGGUACAGUUUGUGUUUUCAGUUGUUUAUUACCUUAGUCUUGUGAAAUUGCCUCUCUGGAAGUAUUGUGUCUUAAAGAGAAACAAACCUGAAUAACUUUGAUAUUUUGAAAAAAGUUUCAACUGUUGUUCACAGUCAAAAUCAGUGGGGUUCAAAACAACACUGGACUCCACUGUCAUUCAUUGUGGAAAAAAGGGCAAAACAAAAGACACUAAAACAGUAUUCAAAAUGUCAUUUACAUCCUCUUACCCCUUGCAUAAAUAAUUUCAGAAUGCUAUGCUAAUGCUAAUAGAACCCAAAAGAAUACACUUUCUCUAAUCCCUAAGAUUUGUGAUUAAAUGGCUGUUAAAGUUUAUUACCUUCAUUAACUUCCCUUAGAUUAUUACUAAGAAAACUUUAGUACUUUAAACUAUAGUAAUUUACUGAAUCAUUUACCCAUUACAUUUGUACAAACUGACAGAAGCAAUUCUGCUGGAGUAACCUCGGUCACUCCUUGCAAGGUUCAAACCUUCAACCUUUUUAUUAGUAGCCCAAAUCUUUAAACCCUAGGCUACAGGAGUAGAUGUUUGAGAGGUGUUGAUCCCUGGACAGGAGGCCAUUGUGAAUCUGAAGCUCUCUUCAUCGUAUGCUGGCUCAGCUGUAUAAUAACACACAAUCCUUCUCUGUGACCUCAUUAUAAAAGAGGGGCACUAUGUGCUAGUUGUGUAAGCUUUUUAAGGUGUGUGUGACUAUGAUGGGGAUAAUGUGUUAUUGUAAGGGGAUAUGUUGAGAGUUUAAAGCAGACUUGCAUAGUGUCAACUCCCAACUCCCUGUACAGCACUGCAGACAAACAGUCUCAUUCACUCAGAGCUAAAAGCAAUUAGUGUGUGUGUUAAAUGCUUUCAGGUGUUCCUGGCCCCAUAUGUGGUACCUAGUGUGUUUGAGGAAGUGUUUUUUUACUUUCAAAUAUGUGCUGCUUGAUCAGUAGUCCAAAUAAAAGGUUUAUAUAUGUUUUAGAAGAUUUUAUU